AAGCGUUGUUCGGAUUCAUUGGGCGUAAAGGGUGCGUAGGUGGCGCGGUAAGUCGGGUGUGAAAUCUCGGAGCUUAACUCCGAAAUUGCAUUCGAUACUGCCGUGCUCGAGGACUGGAGAGGAGACUGGAAUUCAUGGUGUAGCAGUGAAAUGCGUAGAGAUCAUGAGGAAGACCAGUGGCGAAGGCGGGUCUCUGGACAGUUCCUGACACUGAGGCACGAAGGCCAGGGGAGCAAACGGG
rnacentral:rRNA from 1 species